UCUACCUCACCUCCAGUUAUUUAAACCCACUUCAUUCAGUCAUUCCCUGCUGGACCAUAGUUUGUCACAUUCCUGCAUCAACUCAUGACCACUACAGCUUCUCGGACACGACUCUGCCAGUUCCUGUUUGGAUUUUCCAUCUGGACUCACCUUCCCCGUUUGGAUUUCCACCUCUGUUCCUAUUCUUUCUCCAACCUGUGGAUAUUCUGUUUUGUGUUCUACUAUCUCCAGAGUUCCCUAAGUCUGCUACCUAGCCCUUCAGUUUAGUUUCUUCCCAUUUUUGUCAGCUUCUGUGCCUGCAUCUGGGUUCUCUGACCCCUCCUGUAACAGACUCUGUAAUAAAAGACAGCCAGCACUCAUUAAUAACAACUAAUGUCCUGAGAUGCACAGACAGCUGAGUGACUUCAGACACAAACUAAUGGAUGGAGACAUCUUCAUUGGAUUUCAUUCACCGUGAAGCGAAGACGCUCCUCCUGAACAGCUGUGUGCCACUGAGGCUCUGUUGUGAUCCAUCUCAGUGUCGGGAGAGGGACGGACACACAUUAACUUCCCUCUUUAAUUCAGUGAAAGAGGACUGAGGGAGGAGACAAAACACACUGAUGCUUGGCUGAAUCUGGACUGUUGUCAUGGUGAUGGCGCACCCUGACACCCCUCGCUCUCUGCCUGCCACUGAGGUCAGCAGAAGAAAAGAGUAACAGGAGGGAAAUGGAGCACAGAUAGAAUUUUGUGAGAGAAUGUUAAUAAUAAACAGCAGCAUUUUACCACCAUCAA